rnacentral:lncRNA from 1 species
CAGCACCCAACCAUAGUUAACCUGUCUGCAACCUCGGAGACAUCCGACCUUCUCCUAGAUUGCUGCGACAGAGAGCUAUUCUGCUCCACCAGACGUCCCAAUUGAGCUUCAGUCGUCCGGCCUGAACUCUCCGACGAGUCACGACAACGGACACCACUCCACUCUUCAUAGCAAACUCCACGUGGCCCCACCACUCUCCGGC